rnacentral:rRNA from 1 species
GAUGAACGCUGGCGGCGUGCCUAACACAUGCAAGUCGAGCGAAGCACUUACUUUAGAUUUCUUCGGAAUGACGAAGUUUGUGACUGAGCGGCGGACGGGUGAGUAACGCGUGGGCAACCUGCCCUGUACAGGGGGAUAACAGUUAGAAAUGACUGCUAAUACCGCAUAAGCCCACAGCUUCGCAUGAAGCAGUGGGAAAAACUCCGGUGGUACAGGAUGGGCCCGCGUCUGAUUAGCUAGUUGGUAAGGUAACGGCUUACCAAGGCGACGAUCAGUAGCCGACCUGAGAGGGUGACCGGCCACAUUGGGACUGAGACACGGCCCAAACUCCUACGGGAGGCAGCAGUGGGGAAUAUUGCACAAUGGGGGAAACCCUGAUGCAGCGACGCCGCGUGAGCGAUGAAGUAUUUCGGUAUGUAAAGCUCUAUCAGCAGGGAAGAAAGUGACGGUACCUGACUAAGAAGCCCCGGCUAACUACGUG